ACGUAGGGCAAGCACCCGCCGCGUGGUGGUGGUCCCGUCAUGCUGCCGUCAUGUUCCCGUCAUGCUGCCGUGGCGCUUGUUUGCUGCCUGCCCUUCCCUCCUUUGGCAAGCAGCAGUAAACAAGCAGGUAAAGAAGCGAAGGCAGCAGCAGCAGUAGUUAAUUUGUGUGUGAAACUAGUAAUUUGUACCUUUCCUAUUUUGACACUCGUGCAAGAUGUUAAGCCAUGUAGCUUUGAAAGCUAAAUUUUGUCAUACUUGUUUGGAUAUGACAAAUAUAAACACGUAGGUGAUGCCUGCGAGGAAUCCCAAGUGAAACAAGAUGCUGAUGGAAGCUCAGUGUUAAAAGCUGAGGAGGAUGUGUUGGAAACCUCUUCAGCAGCAACUGCUGAAAGCCAACAGAAGAUUUUUAUCCCUGGACACCCCUGAGUCCUGGCUAUGCUGACAGCCCAUGCGGGAACAGGUCUUCCAGAAGAGAUGUAGGCAGAGAGAAGGUCUCAAAGCCAUCUCGGUAUCCAUUCUCCCCACUCUGUUCUGCUCCACUGGACUCUUCCUUUUUCAUAUUUAAUCAACAAUUGAAAUUAAAGUAAUUGUGGCAAUGGUGCACAAAACAGAGAGCCCAUGCGGGUAUAUGAGUAACUGCUGCCUUAAAGAUUUUAAACACUGCUUGAGUGCCGCAAAGUUCACAGAUCAAAACAAAAGGCCAGUUAUCCCCAUGAAACAAGGCAAAUGUCAGGAUCAGUUGGAUAUGCAGGAACACUGUGGAGCUGCCAUUCAGGUUUUUCAUCAGCAUGUUUCAAGAGAAGAGAUGUUGUCAAUGCUGGCAAAGAGAAAGUUCUGACAAAGGCAGGAGGAGAUACCCAGCUGAGAGAUGGAUUACUACAUGACUUCAACCCACACAAAAUCCUAGCCUGGCAGCCAGGUGGGUGCAGAAACUUCCAGCUGUAGGACUCCAAAGCCCAGGGAUACGAUACUGACAUGGUGUCUGACAAUUCUUUGCUGACUCAGGAGACAGAAAAGCUCCUGACACAGCUGAACUAGUCCUGGAGGCCUCUCUCAAAGACGGCAACUCUCCUCUGAAGAAUUUCUGCACUGUUUUGGGCAGUUAUUUUGCCCCUGCCAGGGAAAUUCAUUACCCUAGUGUCAGUUUUAUGAAGAAGUCCCUGGAAAGCUACUUUACAGCAAGGUAUGUCACAUACAGAUCCACCUCAGUCCUAAAAAGUAGGAGCUAAUGGUUUUAAACAGAAGUCAACAAAUCUUCCUUUUCUUCUGUCUCACUUCCUUUUUUUUUCAAUUUUCCAUCUCUGCACAUCUCCUCAUAUUUGGCUUUCUCCUCUGUUUUCUUCCAAGUUCUGCAAAAGUACUGUCAUCUGAGGGAGAGACUGACCGCAGGGCAUUUAUUUGUGUACAAAUACUAUUUUACCAUGGCAACCCUAUUUUUUUUCAUUAUGCAGUUCUCUGGAUGAUGAAGUUGCUUUUGAACAUUGGGGCAUUCCCCUGCUUCUUCAGCAGCUGGUAUCUCAAAGAAAUCUUAAAAAUACGUUGUUAAAGGCACAGAACCAAUAAGAAAAAGGGACAUCAUCCAUAGAAAAGGUUUUCUGCAAUUAUCAAUGGCUUUUUGGUUUGCUCAUGCCUACAAGUAAAAGUCACUUAUUUAUAAAUAAUCAAUUAUGUUAUUUUGCUGUUAAUAGGUCUAAUUGUGUUUACUUUUACAUAUAUAAUGUAUCAUCUGGUACAAAUCAGCAGAGAAUACUGUCUGUAGUGUUUUGUUCUUUCUGGAUUGUUACAAAAUGUUUUUCAGCAUGUUCUUUUAUAUGAUUCAUUCUGUAAUGUCCAAAGACUAUAAUUGCAUUUAAAUAUUGUUUAAACAAAAUAAUAUUUUUUUAUUUUCAGAGGUAGAAUAUAUAGCAGAAUACAGGUAGCCUAUAUUGGAAAGAACAGUUUAUUUUUUGUCAAUUGAACAUUACUCCAAGGAUCAUACAGUGGCACUCAGCUAUAACUAACCUAUCACCUACCUUUACAACUCAGCUUUCCUUGCAGGAGAUAAGACCAGCUCCUGAUUUCAUACGUGCAUGGAGCUACAGCUCUGUCCUGAGCCCAGCUGCCAUCCUAGGUCUCUGGGAUGAGCAGGAUGUUGCUGGCAUUUCAGCUCUGAGGUCUUUGAUUUCCCUAGCCCUAAACUCAACCCUAACCCUACCCUUCUACAGAGUAGAUGAUAAACCUCCCUGUUCAAAAUUUAUGAUGACGUACCACUUCAUCCUGAGUCCAUCUUCAUCUACCUCUUUGGGUGGAGCAGGUUUUCAAUGUUACUCCAACGAUGAGGAUCCUUGCUUCCCAAACUCUAACCCUAAUGCUAUGCUUCACUGGUGUGGAUAUCAAACCCAUUCAGCUGGAAAUGGGUGAUGAAACCGUCAUUAUCCCAAUCCCAUAUCCUAAGCCAAAUCCUCAUCCUAGCUUUGGGCUGAGCAGGACUUUACUGGAAUUUUGUCUUCAUGGGAAAAAUCUGCUAUUUACUAGUUAGAGUUACACUGUCAAUCAUUAUAUAAAUGCAUGCUUCAGCAGGUCUUGUUUCAGUGUACGUUAAAUCCCACUUUAAAUGAAAAAUGUAUUUGUGUUGAAAAUAAUAUUUGGACUAAAUUUUGGCAAGUAGCCAUUGUUCUAAACUGGUAUACAUUUGAACUCAUAUCUUCAUGUACAGCAGCAAGGGUUGGGUUUUUUUGCCUAGAUAUAAGUAACCUUCAGCAACUGGACAGCUUUAAUUGAAGCAUUUAUUACUGUUCUCACCUGAGUAGCUGAAAUAUGCAGUAAAAUACCUGAACCUUAAAGUAAUUCUGUGGUUUUGUUCAGGAACCAAAAUCUCUUUGAAUACUGAGACCAAAAGGCAGAAUAUUAAUAUUUCCUUCUUCUUCUCUCCAAGUUGAUUUCAUAUCUGCUCAUCUUUAGCAGAGCAUCUGGGGAGUUCUAUCACAGAAGGCCUCUGCUGUGCUUUGUCCUCUCUGUCUUCUGCUAGAGAAGCGCAGGUGUCGUAGCUUGGAUUUACGCGAGGAACGUGUGUUAUACGCCUGAGUGUGGGAGGCUGCUUUUUAGCAAGGUUACCUGCAGUCUCCAUGGCCAAGGGGUUGCCUGUCUCACUUUGUGCUCCGGCUCUCCUGCUCUGCGAGGGGUGGGUGCUGCCUCCGUGGCUGCUGCCUGCUGGCUUCCUCUUCUCCGCAGGUGGGUGACCAGCCUGUGGUGUGAGGAUGGAGAAGGGGCUCUUGUAGAGCUGCAUUGUCUAACGUGGAUCAAGCAUGGGUAUCCUCUUCAGACCCCUCCACCUGAACAUUUAUACCAAUGGCUGGCACUCUCUCUGUUGACUGGAAAUGGCAGAAUCGGCAACCGAAAGCAAUAUUCAGUGGACUUCAGAAGCCACUGCCUGGGUAGCAGGACAUUAACCAGACUUGUAGCCAAUGUUUAAAUACUUUACCGUCCAAUCAGUUGCUAAAUGUCUGGUUUAAAAAAACACAUGGAAGUCAGACCUGAUAGCUGUUAUGAAACAUUAAUUAUCUGUAAAACUGAGCUUUUUAUGCUCGCUAUCUCCCUGGCACCUGAGUGUGUUUUCCCAAGGAGGAAAUUGCAGUUUGCUGGUGCCAGCGGAGUUUUUACAAACAAAGAACCAAAUCACUGGGUUUUAACUUGUUUAGUAACCUCACAUGCAGGUGUCAUUCUGGACUGUUUCUUUCACUCCUUUUCAUUAAAUUAAUGUGAUACAGAGCAAGAUCCCACCUUUUUCAAGCAUCUCACUUUCCUUUAUAGGGAAUUAAAUAAGGUCUGAAAAUCUUACUAUCUAAUAGAAAAAAAGUAGGCUGAUACUUAUAAUGUAAGAGAGAGAUCCUCAAGUCAUUAUGCUGUCACUCACAAAGAGUCGGCUUUACUGAGAUGUGAUUUCAUGCACAGGUUUACUUUUUCUGAGAUUGGCCUGGUCUUUUCCCUACUAUGAACAGCCUGCACACUGCAGAAUUGUUAAAAUUUUUUUUUAGUUUGCUCAGUUAAGACACUAACUAAAUUUUUACCUGGAAGUACAGCAGUAUUGACUUUACAUGUAUACAGCAGAUGCUGACUCCACCUAUAAAAACAGAUUAACACCC